AGUCACUGACAUUAGAUACCCGUGUAGUCCAGGGUGUAAACGCUGCAGACUUGGUGUUGGAAGUCCUUUGGGGGGCAUUCAGUGCCGGAGAGAAGUUGUUAAGUCUGCUACUUGGGGAGUACGUCCGCAAGGAUGAAACUUAAAGGAAUUGGCGGGGGAGCACCGCAACGGGAGGAGCGUGCGGUUUAAUUGGAUUCAACACCGUAAAACUCACCAGGGAAGACUGUUACAUGAAAGCCGAGAUGAAGACUCUGCUAGAUUUUCAG
rnacentral:rRNA from 1 species